CAGUAGCGUAUAUUAAAGUUGUUGCAGUUAAAAAGCUCGUAGUUGGAUUUCUGGCUUGAGAACGCUAGCCCGCCAGGGUUACCUGUGUGAGUGCCGGCCGUUCUCUGCCAUCCUUCUAGAAAACGUGUCUUCCCUUCAUUGGGUGGGCUCGCAAUCUAGAUCAUUUACUUUGAGAAAAUUAGAGUGUUUAAAGCAGGUUAUCGCUAUGAAUACAUUAGCAUGGAAUAAUAAUAUAGGGCUUCGGUUCUAUUUUGUUGGUUUCUAGAACUGAAGUAAUGAUUGAUAGGGAUAGUUGGGGGUGGCUAGUAUUUAACGGCCAGAGGUGAAAUUCUUGGAUUCGUUAAAGACUAACUUAUGCGAAAGCAUUCACCAAGGAUGUCUUCUUUAAUCAAGAACGAAAGUUGGGGGAUCGAAGACGAUCAGAUACCGU
rnacentral:rRNA from 1 species